UACGUAGGGCGCAAGCGUUGUCCGGAAUUAUUGGGCGUAAAGAGCUCGUAGGCGGCCUGUCGCGUCUGCUGUGAAAUCCCGGGGCUCAACCCCGGGCCUGCAGUGGAUACGGGCUGGCUGGAGGCAGGCAGGGGAGAACGGAAUUCCUGGUGUAGCGGUGAAAUGCGCAGAUAUCAGGAGGAACACCGGUGGCGAAGGCGGUUCUCUGGGCCUGUUCUGACGCUGAGGAGCGAAAGCGUGGGGGAGCGAACAGG
rnacentral:rRNA from 1 species